GACGAACGCUGGCGGCGUGCCUAAUACAUGCAAGUCGAACGGUCUUUCUAUGGAAGCUUGCUUCCACUGAGAAGAUAGUGGCGAACGGGUGAGUAACACGUGGGUAACCUGCCCAUAAGAGGGGGGAUAACAUCCGGAAACGGGUGCUAAUACCGCAUAGUUUUCUUGAUUGCAUGAUUGAGAAAGGAAAGACGGCCUUUGUGCUGUCGCUUAUGGAUGGACCCGCGGCGUAUUAGUUAGUUGGUGAGGUAACGGCUCACCAAGACGAUGAUACGUAGCCGACCUGAGAGGGUGAUCGGCCACAUUGGGACUGAGACACGGCCCAAACUCCUACGGGAGGCAGCAGUAGGGAAUCUUCCGCAAUGGACGAAAGUCUGACGGAGCAACGCCGCGUGAGUGAAAGAAGGUUUUCGGAUCGUAAAACUCUGUUGUCAGAGAAGAACAAGUUGGAGAGUAACUGCUCCAGCCUUGACGGUAUCUGACCAGAAAGCCACGGCUAACUACGUGCCAGCCGCCGC
rnacentral:rRNA from 1 species